UGCCGUGAACACUGUUGAAAUGACAACAAAGGAUUUAGAAUGUUCCAUAAACUUAGUUGAUAGAGCAGGGCAGGGUUCGAGGAGACUGACUCCAAUUUUAAACACAGUCCUACAGGCUCCUGUGCUACAGAGAAAUCUUUCAUGAAAGGAAAAGUCUGUCAAUGCAGCAAACUUCACGGUCGUCUUAUUUUAAGAAACUGCAGCAACCGCCCCCACCUUCGGCAACCCCGCCCGGGUCAGUCAGCACCAGCAACGUGGAGGCAACACCCUCCACCAGCAGGAAGAUUAUGACUCACUGGAAGCUCAGAUAAUUGUUAACAUAUUUUAGCAACAAAGCAUUAUUAAGGUGCGAACCCAGAGAACCAGGCGGGGCCUCAGAAUCGGGUCCGGAGGCGGAAAGGCGUCGGCACCCGGGAAACCACCACCAAGUUGCAGAUUUUCAAAAGCUGAGGUUUGUCUAAUAAGUGGAUGCGGGCACACAAAUGUCUCCGAGCAUAAUUGCCAUAUGCAGAACGGGAAGGCUUAGCCCUUCUAACUAGCGCAUAAUGAGCACAGUCCUCCUCCGUGCAGCAGGGUAGGACUGACCGCUGCGCCUGGUGUUCUGUGUCUGGGGCUUUCCUCCCACCCCAAAUGAAAAUAUAUAAUUCUGGGCCGCCCUCCCCAUACAUCACAGUCAUUAUGGCCACAUCGGCUGUUUUCCUCUCCAUUUUUCUCACAAAAUAAAGCAUCCUUGCAGCAGG